rnacentral:snoRNA from 14 species
UUGCUGUGAUGGCUAUCUUAGGACACCUUUGGAAUAACCGUGAAAGGAAAUUGUUCUGAGCAAC